rnacentral:rRNA from 1 species
CCUACGGGGUGCAGCAGUCGAGAAUCAUUCACAAUGGGGGAAACCCUGAUGGUGCGACGCCGCGUGGGGGAAUGAAGGUCUUCGGAUUGUAAACCCCUGUCAUGUGGGAGCAAAUUAAAAAGAUAGUACCACAAGAGGAAGAGACGGCUAACUCUGUGCCAGCAGCCGCGGUAAUACAGAGGUCUCAAGCGUUGUUCGGAAUCACUGGGCGUAAAGCGUGCGUAGGCUGUUUCGUAAGUCGUGUGUGAAAGGCGCGGGCUCAACCCGCGGACGGCACAUGAUACUGCGAGACGAGAGGAAUGGAGGGGGAACCGGAAUUCUCGGUGUAGCAGUGAAAUGCGUAGAUAUCGAGAGGAACACUCGUGGCGAAGGCGGGUUCCUGGACAUUAACUGACGCUGAGGCACGAAGGCCAGGGGAGCGAAAGGGAUUAGAUACCCCUGUAGUC